GACGAACCGUGCGAACGUUAUUCGGAAUCACUGGGCUUAAAGCGCGUGUAGGCGGGUCGGCACGUCGGGCGCUGAAAUCCCCCGGCUCAACCGGGGAAGGGGCGCCGAUACGGCCGGCCUGGAGGGACGUAGGGGGGGCUGGAACUUCCGGUGGAGCGGUGAAAUGCGUUGAGAUCGGAAGGAACGCCCGUGGCGAAAGCGAGCCCCUGGACGUCUACUGACGCUGAGACGCGAAAGCCAGGGGAGCGAACGGG
rnacentral:rRNA from 1 species